AAUAAAUACAGUUUUGCACUGUUCAUAUCUUUGUUUUAUUUGAAAAUUUUUAUGAUUGAUAUUUUUAUUAUUAUUAGAUGAUAAAACAUAAAUAAUACUUUAUGUGUGAUUAAAUUUUCAUAAAUUUUUUAUAUAAAAUGGACGGCCAAACGUUGAACAUGGAUAUUUACGGUUGCACUUAUU
rfam:Oryza glaberrima chromosome 5 Oglab05_0141_22, whole genome shotgun sequence.